AGUCGAACGAGCGAGAGAGAGCUUGCUUUCUCGAGCGAGUGGCGAACGGGUGAGUAACGCGUGAGGAACCUGCCUCAAAGAGGGGGACAACAGUUGGAAACGACUGCUAAUACCGCAUAAGCCCACGGGCCGGCAUCGACCAGAGGGAAAAGGAGCAAUCCGCUUUGAGAUGGCCUCGCGUCCGAUUAGCUAGUUGGUGAGGUAACGGCCCACCAAGGCAACGAUCGGUAGCCGGACUGAGAGGUUGAACGGCCACAUUGGGACUGAGACACGGCCCAGACUCCUACGGGAGGCAGCAGUGGGGAAUAUUGCACAAUGGGGGAAACCCUGAUGCAGCGACGCCGCGUGGAGGAAGAAGGUCUUCGGAUUGUAAAUUCCUGUUGUUGAGGAAGAUAAUGACGGUACUCAACAAGGAAGUGACGGCUAACUACGUGCCAGCAGCCGCGGUAAAACGUAGGUCACAAGCGUUGUCCGGAAUUACUGGGUGUAAAGGGAGCGCAGGCGGGAAGACAAGUUGGAAGUGAAAUCCAUGGGCUCAACCCAUGAACUGCUUUCAAAACUGUUUUUCUUGAGUAGUGCAGAGGUAGGCGGAAUUCCCGGUGUAGCGGUGGAAUGCGUAGAUAUCGGGAGGAACACCAGUGGCGAAGGCGGCCUACUGGGCACCAACUGACGCUGAGGCUCGAAAGUGUGGGUAGCAAACAGGAUUAGAUACCCUGGUAGUCCACACCGUAAACGAUGAUUACUAGGUGUUGGAGGAUUGACCCCUUCAGUGCCGCAGUUAACACAAUAAGUAAUCCACCUGGG
rnacentral:rRNA from 1 species